GCGGAUAUGGCGGAAUUGGCAGACGCGCCAGAUUUAGGUUCUGGUGGGACAUCCCGUGCAGGUUCGAUUCCUGUUAUCCGCA
rnacentral:tRNA from 1 species